AGCCUUUGGAAAGGAUCAAAGGUUAUACCUGCCCAAUGUUAUAUUAAUGGCCGCGGUACUUUGACCGUGCUAAGGUAGCACAAUCAAUUGGCCCUUAAUUAGGGUCAGGUAUGAAUGGAGUUACGGGGCUUAGCUGUCUCUAAACUAUUUAAUUGAAGUUGCUGUAUAGGUGAAAAAGCCUAUAUAAAGAAAAAAGACGAGAAGACCCUUAGAGUUUUACUUAUAAAAGAGUUAUAUUCUUCACUAGUUUUGUUGGGGCAACAUGGGAGAAAAUUUAAACCUCCUAAAAGCAUAUAAACCGAUAUUUUUAAAUGUGAAUAAACUACCUUAGGGAUAACAGCAUAAUUUUAAAAAUAAGUUUGUGACCUCGAUGUUGGACUAGGAAACUCAAGGGCUAGCCGCCUUUUGGUAAGGUUCUGUUCGAACUAUAAUUCCU
rnacentral:rRNA from 1 species